rnacentral:pre_miRNA from 1 species
ACAAAGGGCCUGAUCCGAAGCCCAUUGUAGUUGAUAGAAGUCUAUCCAUUGACUUCAGUGGGCUUUAGAUCAGGCCCAAAGU